CUGGAGGGUUUCAAACCGCGCACCGCUGUGCCGCAGCCAGCAGUUUUGUACGGGCUCCGGUCGGUGGAAAACAGGGCGUGGCCGCGAACUUAUCGCUCUUCGGGAGAGAGCCAGGAGGCCAAUGGCACCUUUGCUCCAAAAGCACAAGUUCUGCCUCCGGCCCUCCAGGGGCCUGUGGAGCAGAGGAGAAGAUCAUUUACCAGGUGCCAGAAGAAAGAAGACUGAAAAAAAAUGAUGCUUUGGUUCAGCGCCUUCCGCCAGUCUCAGAUGUUGCAAAGUGUAAGUUAAGAAGAUGCUGGCAGGAGGGAAGCUGAAGGUACGACUCUGUCAUUUCCACAUUUGCUAGCAGCAGGAAUUACUGUUUAUGAAAUCAACCACAGACUUUUCCACUAUAGCAGGACAUGAGGUCUUUGGAGACCAAAUCCAAAUUGUGACUGAGCAUGUUUGCACAGCCUCAGUCUGACUGUUAGGAUUUUCACGAGAAAUCCUGAUGUCUUGGAUCUGGACAUUCUGUUGUAGGCCACAGCUUUCCCUCUGCUGACAACGGGGAUGCUGAUGGAGACCAUGGCUGGCAGCUCUGGCACACUGCAUUAGGAUAGCCAUCAAAUCCUCUCUGGUGUCUUCUGCUCCCACCAGCUGCUCCACAUCAUCUCUGACAGAGUUUUUCUCUGUCAGAGACUCUGAAACUCUGACUCAUGGCUCUACAUUCCUGCUCCACGAGUGUCUUCGGCUGCUUUAAGAGCUCAGAUGUGUGGGUGUAGCAGCCUCCUCAGCCCUCUGAUGGAGAAACCGCCACCCUACAGAUCAGCCAUGUUGCACUAGAAGACUAUAUGCAGCCUGGGUCCCCAAAGUGACUCUGUUGACUCAGAGUCCAUGGACUCUUUGAUUAUGACGCUGAGGUGGCAGAAUUGACCAUAAAAGUCAAAGUGGAACGGAAAAGAUUUCUGAAGGAAUAAAAUCUUGUUGGCCUUAAAUGUGCUUCAGAUGCUCUGUAUGUUUGUUUGGUCUCAAAGAAGCUGCAACAAUAAGGAGUCAUGCAAAGUUCAGGUCCAAAGCUCGGUCCAAAGCUCAGUCCAAAGCCUUAAAAUCACAGAAAACUUGAUGCUAGACAUCCUCCUUUAGAACACAGGUCUGCAACAUUCAAUACUUAAAGAACCAUUCAGGUUCAUUUAUCACUGACCAAAACCCAGCAGUCCCAUUUCACCCUAAAAGAAAAAAAGACACUGCUGUGUAUUUUGAUUUUUGUUACUAUUAAAAGAAACAUAAGUUAACUAUCAUUUUUUUGGUAUAAAUAAAAUAUGAGCAUAAAGAGAAAAUAGCCUUUUUUCUCCAGAUGAAAUAGUUAAUAAUUUUUGACAAAGGUUCACAUGACUUCCUUUCAAAAUAAAAGACACCCUCUAGCUGCAGUGUCUGAUACGUUACAUUGAGACAUUGUGUGUCUAUCCUCUGCAGAACUCCACCACACCGUCUGACGUCACCUCCUGCAGGAGAUGAUUGCGGCCUCCUUCCCUCCUCCAAUCAUGAGGCUGGGCGGGAAUCAUAAAAGCCUCGGCAGCCCCUGUUCCAGUGGCAGCUGAAUUCCUGAGAGGAAUCAGUUUGUCAGCUUGCCCCUGCUGUCGGUCUUGGCAUAAGAAGCCGGUGGAAACGGCCUGGUUUUUCUUCUUGCAUGUGGUCUUUGUUUUCGUUUAUGUUUUCGUGUCUUGGUAAUGUCCCUCUAGUUUGAGUUCCACUUUAGGUUUUGUUAGUUAUUGCUAUAGUGCCUGAGAAUUUAAGUUAUCUUCUUUAACCCCAUUUGCAUCUGUCCAGCUAAUAAACGGCUGUCCUGGCAGUUUGACCCUACCGGCUUAAAUAUUAUUUUUCUUUAUGUUACCUAUUUUCUCCCUCCCUUGGGGUGGGAUGUAACAGGAAUAAACUGAGUAUAUGCAUCACGAUGGGAUCAACAAUCGGUGUGACCCACCUGUCUCGAUUGGAAAGAAAUGUUGAUCCGAAUGAGUCAGAUCGGGGCAGAGUAUUUCGAAUGGCGUGUUUACAUGACUCAUUUUUAUUCUGAUCAGGCGUUCAUUCAGCCAGAUUAAAUAGUUGAACCAUCCCUGGUCUAAAAAACUAAUUUGCAGCAUUCCUAUAACUCUGAUUGUGAAAAUCUUUAAUGUGAUUACUGCAGUGGAUACUGUCUGAAAUGUUGAAUUAAAGGCGCUUACUUCCUCAAAUGUUUUGUGCUGUUAUCACAGUUCACCCCCCCCCCCCUCUCCAGGAAAUGGAGAACAAAUCUCACACUGUCGGGUGUCUGCCGAUUAUUGGGACUUUAACUUUACAGGAAAUUAAAUUAACAGAUGUCAUCCGUCAAUAGCUUCAGAGGAGAGAGGAUUUUAACUGACAAACUCCAAGAGGCCUAAAGGAAAAUGAAGUUUGACUUCUCACCCCAUGUACUGAAGAAAGAGCUACUUUCCCAGGAAAUUACACAACCUGCCUUCCUCAAAGAAAUUUUCUCUGCUGGUUAACAUUGAUUUAAAAUAGUCAAAUGACUCCAUUGUGUUUUAUAGUAUUCAUGCUGCUCAACUGCUGCAAUGACAUGUUUAAAGACAGAAAAGCCAAAGGAACUGAUUUAAAAUAACCCUUGUAAGAAAACAUUUGCAGGUCACUGAACAGGAACAUAAUCAUCUAAACCCAUUCACCAGAGGCACUGGAAUUGCUGGAAAGGAAAAGGUUCAAGAGGGAAAGCUGAACACAAAAAUUACAACUAAAGCCACGGUCACACAGCCCUCUGCAGCCACCGUCAAGCAACUUUGUAAACACACAUAAAUGUGUGUUUAGAUGGCUCUACUUUUAAUUCAUUGGAAUGCCAAUCGUUUAUGGAGAACAAUUAAUAAUAGGUUUUUUUUUGCCAGUUAUAUGACACAAAGUCUUUCAUAAAACCUGGAGCAAGAUUCGCGAGAUUUGCACCGCUUCGAAAAUUCACACCAAGCCAUAGAGUAUGGUUUAUGAAAAUGUACAAAUUUUUUCUUUUAAUAGAACAUAAAGGAGGGUCUAGGGUCAGGGAUGUUCAGGUUCAGUCUAGUUUAAUCUAGCAAUUAGCUAUUGUUCAUAUUUUAUGACUGAUUCUAUCUUUUUGGACAAUCAUUGGUGUAAAGCCCAUUUAGACAACUGUGUUAUGAUAUUUGGAUAUAUUAUUGGGAUAUAAAUUGAACUGAAUUGAAUUGAAUUGUCAAAAUGUGGGAAAAGAAAAAAACUCAGACUAUUGUCAUAGAAAAAGAAAAGAAAAAGGUUAGACUGCUAAAACAUUUCAGGUAUAUUUCAUUUGAAAUAGGCAUGAAAACCUCAAAGAAUCUUGGGAAAUCAAGGAAUAAAUGCUUUUAUGGAAAAAAAGAUUCACAUUUACUCACAAAGGUGAAAUUACUAGAAGCUGUGGUGGAGGAGUGGGCGAAAAGAAAAGGAGUCUGGUGUACAGGAAUUUUUCAAAAAAGUAACGUUUAAGUGAUGGAUGUUUUUAUACCUUCGUUUUUGACCAAAAAAAAGCGAACAGUUUAAAUAAAGACAAACGUGAAAUUAU